GUUUUAGAGCUAGAAAUAGCAAGUUAAAAUAAGGCUAGUCCGUUAUCAACUUGAAAAAGUGGCACCGAGUCGGUGCUUUUUUUCUAGACCCAGCUUUCUUGUACAAAGUUGGCAUUA
rnacentral:sRNA from 3 species